rnacentral:rRNA from 1 species
UGGGGAAUAUUGGACAAUGGGCGCAAGCCUGAUCCAGCCAUGCCGCGUGAGUGAUGAAGGCCUUCGGGUUGUAAAGCUCUUUCACCCACGACGAUGAUGACGGUAGUGGGAGAAGAAGCCCCGGCUAACUUCGUGCCAGCAGCCGCGGUAAUACGAAGGGGGCAAGCGUUGUUCGGAAUGACUGGGCGUAAAGGGCGCGUAGGCGGUUCGUUGCGUCAGAUGUGAAAGCCCCGGGCUCAACCUGGGAACUGCAUUUGAUACGGGCGGGCUUGAAUCCAAGAGAGGGUGGUGGAAUUCCCAGUGUAGAGGUGAAAUUCGUAGAUAUUGGGAAGAACACCAGUGGCGAAGGCGGCCACCUGGCUUGGUAUUGACGCUGAGGCGCGAAAGCGUGGGGAGCAAACAGGAUUAGAUACCCUGGUAGUCCACGCCGUAAACGAUGUGUGCUAGCCGUCGGGCAGCUUGCUGCUCGGUGGCGCAGCUAAUGCGAUAAGCACACCGCCUGGGGAGUACGGUCGCAAGAUUAA